UACGCAGGGGGCUAGCGUUGUUCGGAAUUACUGGGCGUAAAGUGUGCGCAGGCGGCAAAGCAAGUCGAGUGUGAAAGCCCCGGGCUUAACUUGGGAAUUGCGCUCGAAACUACUUUGCUGGAGUGUGGCAGAGGAAGGUGGAAUUCCACGUGUAGCGGUGAAAUGCGUAGAGAUGUGGAGGAACACCAAUGGCGAAGGCAGCCUUCUGGGCCAACACUGACGCUCAUGCACGAAAGCGUGGGGAGCAAACAGG
rnacentral:rRNA from 1 species